rnacentral:rRNA from 1 species
UACGUAGGUGGCAAGCGUUGUCCGGAUUUACUGGGCGUAAAGAGCGCGCAGGCGGUCGUUCAAGUCGCGUGUGAAAGCCCCCGGCUCAACUGGGGAGGGUCACGCGAUACUGAUCGACUGGAAGGCAGGAGAGGGUAGUGGAAUUCCCGGUGUAGUGGUGAAAUGCGUAGAUAUCUGGAGGAACACCGGUGGCGAAGGCGGCGUCCUGGACCAACACUGACACUGAAAAGCGAAAGCCAGGGGAGCAAACGGG